AACUUUUAAUAAUAGAUCUCUUAGUUCUAGUAUUAAUAAAGAAUGUAGCGAAAUGCGAUAAGUAAUGUAAAUUAUAGAAUUUAGUGAAUUAUUGAAUUUUUGAAUAUAUAUUAUAUUUAUUAGUAUUUUGGCGAGUAUGUUUGUUCGAACGUUA
rfam:Neurospora crassa OR74A unplaced genomic scaffold supercont12.8, whole genome shotgun sequence.